AGAAGUUGGAGCAGCUGGGGCCAAUUUUUAAAUUUAAAACUAACAGCAAUUUGGCUGUCUGACGUGGAACUGAAGAGUGACUUUUCUUUAACAUUGUCAUCACCGCAAUGUCCAACCUGCUCUGUUCCAGAUGUGCAACAUCUGGGCUUUGAAGAGUGUGAUUAGGAAAUCAAACAGGACAUGCGGACAUCCAAAAUGAGAUAAGAGUCUCCAACAGAUUACUUUCCUUUCUUACGUAGUUUCUUUCAUCUGAUUCUGUCAAAGUUUGCUGGAAAUCUCUAUCUGGAAAGCAGAAUUUCUCCUCCUUUACAAGCAAGGCAGGAAAGGCUUGUGACUGCACCUGCCAACAGAGACUGAAUGCCUAACCAUGGGACACCAAAUGACUAUGUGGCUUGAGCUUCCCAUCAUGAAUUGGAUGUUGUCUGACCCACCAGCUACAAGAUUGGGUGUAUACAGCACAAUCUAUCUUCAAGUGGAAAUGACAUAUCAGAGACUGAGCUUGGAUGGGUUUGGAAGGUGACAGAAAUCCAACUUGAACAAACCUGAGGAAAAAAAAAAUUCUGCGUGGAAUUUGCUGUAUCGAUGUGAGGGUUACUUCACAUACUCUGAGGGCAAGAAUGUGGGUAAGCCUCAGGAACAUUGUCCCAAACAUCUGUGGCCAGACAGAACUCAUGCUACACUAACAUGGUGGUUCUCACACUGCUGAUGAAGUCUGGCCUGGGCAGGGCGAAGAGGGGGCUGAGGCGGCAAUUCCCAGAAGAGGUAUGCUCUUAGCAGACACACACAAAAAAUGUUUACUGAAGUUAAUAGUGAUUUUGAAAUUAAUUAUAAUGUAUAUGCCACUUACUUACAAAAUGAUUCAAUGAAGUUAAUAAUAAUAAUAGUAAUAGUAUUUUAUUUUAUAAGACUAUACACAUGAUCUCAUUGUAAAUAGCAACUACUCCAUGCAGUCAGUUGGCAGGUGUGUCCGCUCCCAUUUUAUAGGUGAGGAAACCCAUGUGCAGAUUGCUUACACAGUUUGCCCAAGGACAUACAGCUGGUAAGUUAUGGAGAUGGACCUCAAGCCUUUUCCACCACAUCUUCCUUCUAGAGACUUCGAUUCUUAAAAUAAAUCAACUUUGUUGUUCCAUUCUUCCCAUUUAUUUGAAGGAAACGACAUUCUGGAUUAAUUUUAAGUAAAAGAAUCAGACUUGAGCAGCUGAUCACUGAUGGAGCUGUAGUGUUUCCAUUUCUCUUUUGGUUGGGAGAAAGGCUAUUCUUCAUGUUCUGUUUUCUUUUGAUUUCUUAUUAGCAUCUCUGUUUCCUUCUACACUUUUCAGUAUUCAAGCCAGGUGCCAAUUGUCUGAGUGAAGACACACCAUUUCUCAAAUAUACCAAGAUGCCAAAUGUAUGUGUAAUAUUUGACCAUAUGAGAAGAGUCCAGUAAGCUCCUAGGGACUUAUGUUCCAGUGUGGCAGCACUGAACAACAGGAAAAUUAUAAAUUUCAUAAGCUAACCAAAAAAGUCAUACGUGCUUCAUAUUUAUAAAUAUCCAAUAGAUGUAAUAUAUUCUAAAUUUGACUUUUUAGUACAAUAGAGGUAUUACAUGUUCUCUCUAUGAAGACAGUGAUAGCUUACAAAAAUACAAAUUGAUGGAAUGUCCUCAGUUUAUUGCUGUCAUUAUUGAUCAUAGCAAUUGGUCAUUGUGGAGAAACCUGUAAGCAAGGAUAUUUCUCAAGAUGGAUUCUGAAAGAAAAGAAGAAAAGAAUGUGUAAGUAGUAGGUAACAGAUAUGUUAAAAAAAAAAAAAAAAACGAAAAGAAAAGAAAAGGAAAAAGAGGUUGAACUACCUAUACUAACUGUGCCAGGAAAAUUCUCCCCAGGCUGGAUAGGAUGGGAUUAAAUCUUGGAACUUCAAGUAAAACAUUUUAAAGGACACAGGAUAGAGGUUAGAUUUUUGAGAGAUGUCUCCAUACUGUCCCUCCCCCCAUCCACAGUGUUCUGAGAUGCUGAGCUAAUCAUUAAAAAACAAAAACACAAAACAAAAUCACUUCAGGAGGAUUUAUCACAUGGAACACUUUAUUUUGGACCUGGUGAAAGUUAAGAAGGUGGACUAGGCCUUUGUCUUGAAGUCACUUGUGGUUUAGUACAUGGAAUCAAAAAAUCAUCAAAGUGCCUAACAAUGCAAGUCAGGAAGCAGAAGUGGUAGGCAUCACUUCUGUGGAGUGGCCUGGUAUUUGAAGAGAGGCUAAGACUAGCUUGUCUCUGAGGCAGCUAAAGGAUCUCUUGGAAAGAGGGCUCUUUAUUAAACUGUGUUCUCUUCUUCCAGCAACUAUUAACAGUCCUGAUGGUAAUAAAAAGAGCAAACAUUUAUCACAUGUUUACAUGCGUUAAGCACUUUAAUUCUUUUUCUCAGUUGGCUUUCUAAACAAUCCAGUGAGGAAGAUACCAUUCUUAUUCAUGUAUUACAGUGUGGGGAGUAGAGGUUUAGAUAAUAAAAUAACUUGCCAAGAUCAUGUAAUUGUAGGGUUAUAAAAUUGUUGAUUCCAUAGAAAAUUGCAUUUUCAUUCUAUAGAGAUUGGGGUAUGUUAACCAGUUUCUGAAGGAGGUUUACUUGGGCCACACAUGUUUCUCCUCAUCUCUGCCAAAGUAAGGCCUAUCUCUCUUGCAAAACUGUGGGACUGGCUCUAUCUCUAUCAUAAACUCUUCCUGAAACCCAGUCAACUCUCUUCCCACAGUGCCCUUAGAGCACUUAUGUCGGCCUUGUUUAUUUGGCGAUUGAUCAUGAACUACCCUAGCUAAGUCUCAUUUAUCUUACAAUAUUGUUUAACUCUGUUUAAUCUUUCCAUCCAGAUGAUAAAAUCCUUCAUGUUGGUAGCUUUGUCUUGGGGAUUAAAAAUAAGUCUUCAAUAGCAUCCACUGCAGCACACAUGAUAAUUUUUUGUUUUGAUAUUUACUUGAAUUAAAGUUGUAUUGGUUAUCUGUUGUGGCUUAAAACAACACACAUGUAUUAUCUUGCAAUUUCUGUGGGUCGGAAGUUGGGUGCGUCUUAACUGGGUCUUCUCCAAAAUUGCAAUUGAGGUGUCAGCUGAGGUUCACUUCUCAUCUGGAGGCUCAAGUGGUGAUGGAUCUGUCUCCAAGCUCAACUCAGAAGUUGGCAGAAGUCAUUUCCUUGUGGUUGUAAGACCACAAGGCUUCAUAUUCUAAUUGGCUAUCAGGUGGAGGCUGCUCUCAACUCCUAGAAGCUGCCCCCAAUUCCAUGCUAUGUGAUUUCCUCCCACAGGCCCUUUUCUGAAAUUGUCCUUUCCUUCAUCAAAGCCAGUAACUGAGAGUUUCUGGAGUUAGUCUGUUAUGGAUAGGGAGUCUAACAUAAUGUAUUAUAAUCGUGACAGUGACAUCCCAUCAUCUUUGCCACAGUCCAUUGAUUAGAAGCAAGUCAUAUGUCUUGCCCACUCCCAAUGGGAUAGAAUUAUAAAAGAACUUGAACAAUAAGUCAAAAUCACACGGGGACCGCCUGAGAGUCUAUCUAUCACAAUAGUGAAAAAAUCAGGAAAUUCACAAAUAUUAGAGACUUUAUCAAACUCACUUAGGAAAUUAACAAUAGUACUUGAAAUAGAAUUCAGAAACUCGGUUCUUAUCUUCUUAUGCUAACUACUAAAUCAUCAUCAACAGUAAUGAGAUGGCCUUGGCUACACAGCAACCUCUGGCUGGUAGAGAUGGAUCACAAGAAUGAGUAUAUCAACUAGAGGUGUGUGUUGAGGAAGAUAACUUCCAAUGAAUAGUCACUGUCCAAAGCAGAGUGGUCAACUUAAACUUGACUCUUGCUAGAGCUGAUAUAUAAGGCCAUCUGUCCAGGAGUAGGUGGCAAAGGCCUAGGUAUAUUAGGUUUGGGUUCAUUCAGUACCUCAGAGCGAGAAUUUGGAAAGGUCCAGGUAGUUUAUCAGGACCUUGGCCUAGAAGCGCAGGGACAUAGCCUAGCUGGGAAUUUAACACUAGCAGAAAGCUGAGAUGGAGCCACAGCUAUAAAGAAUGGAUGAACAUGUAGGUGGGGUUGAGGUCAGAUUGUGACUCAGUGGGCCCAUCUCUUACUCACAAGACUAGCAUUAGGCUACCUCUGUGGGCAGAGGGAAGGCUCCUAAUGUGCUUCCUAUGGAAGACCUCACUGAAGAAAAAGACUGAGAAUUAUCUCAAGAAAUCUAGGCUGUGAUCCAUAUUGGUUAAAUUUAUGGGAAGCAAUACAUAUUUACAUUUUGCUUUUCUGUGAAUGUAAGGCAGAUUUCCUUAAUUAUUUUUAACAAGAUUUCUCUUUUUCUAUCUUCUUUCUUCUUUCUCUAUUCUUUAAACACAUUAACUUUUAUCAAAAUCUCUAGCUUUCUAUAUGGUUAUUCUUUUCUUUUUUUAAUUGAAACUUAAUGAUAAAGAUAUAAUCCUAUCAAUGGAACAAACUGAAUCAGAAGUACUUUUCUGCAUAUUGCUUAUUACACAACUUCCUAUGCCUUUUAAAAUAACACAUGUUUUAUGGGGUCUUUCUCUUGUGACUCAUUUUUGGAGCUGAUCCGAGAAGGAGUUAUUCUCCAGACGUGGCACCAUUGACCCUCAUUUUGAAUUACAUUUUUUAUUUAUUUUUAAAAAGAUAUUUCAUUCAUAGAAUCCCCACUGAGCUUUUUAUUGUGGAAAAUUAGGGCCCGUAAAUCAUCCCCCUCAGAAAACUAUAAAUUUUAUACAAUUGAAACAUUCCAUGGACUGAGCUUGGCACUUUGAUGAAAUCACUCCUUUGCUUCUCAUAAUUUAUGAGCUUCCCCAUUCUCCUCCCUCUUGCUCCAUCAUCACCUUGCCCUCCCAGCAAGAGUAGGGGGUGGUAUCGUGCCUUUAAAUUGCUCACUGGGGUUUAUUGAGUAUAAUUUGUGAGUGGAUUUAUAUGAACUCACGAUAUUGCAACUUAUCCAAAACUAUGAACAAUAAAAUUUUUCAUUUUCUUUUGGCAGGCAGAAGGGACAUGGGUUGAUCACACAGGAGGUAACUCAGCAUGAUGCACUGGGGAAGAACAAAGUCCCUGGAGAUAAAUGAUAUAGGUUAGAACAGUCAUCUGCCCGUGGUUUCCUGUGAGACCCAGGCCUUAGUUUCCUUACCUAUAGGUUCAGUACUAGUCAUGGAACACGGUGCACUAAAGAAGUUACCAGACGCCAAAUGAGAUAAGAAGCGUCCUGUGAGCUGCAACAGACUUGAAGACUUCCAGUAAAUAGACAAGGGAGGCGAUGGCUUUGUCCAAGAAUCUUGUCCUUCAACCUUGACACCACUGAUUUUUUUUUUUUUCCAGAUGCUGCUGAUCAUAUAAAUAAACACUGGAACUUCCUGAUAAUAAUUUUUUUUUUCCUGAUGGAAUUUCUACCUCUAUUCAUACCUCAGAUAUUUAAUACAAUAGAAAUGAAAUGAUAUGCCUGAGUGGAUAACCUAGACUAUCUGAUAUUAAGAAAUAAAAGAUGUGUAAUUUGGUUACCUGGUCUAUACAUUGUGGCUAAGUCAUUUUGAUGUUUCAGGUAAUGUCUUCUUGUGUCUAGCCCUUUACUUUCAGAUAUAAUAAGUUAAAAUAUUUUUUUCUCUGCUCCCUGCACCACUGUCUCUCUUUUUCUCUUUCUCUUUUUUUAUUUUUUUUGGUUUGUUUUAUUUUGUGUUAGAUUUUCUCAAAUGUCUGGUGAACCUAGACUGUCCAUUUAUAAUGAUAAGUGAGGCACUAAAAAGAGAUUGGCAACAUGCUUCACAGAUUAACAAGGAAGUAAGUCAGAUUUCUCAUGGGAAGGGGUCUCAAAAAUGUCUGAAUUUUAGUUCUCUCUUGGGUCCAACAGUUUCUCUGGAGAGGCAUUUUAUACUGUCUGGGAGAAAUGAAGUUAAAUGCUAGUGAUCUCAGAGCUGAAUGUAGGCACAGAGUGCGGGAACCUCAGGGCUUAGU